rnacentral:rRNA from 1 species
AGAGUUUGAUCCUGGCUCAGAUUGAACGCUGGCGGCAUGCCUUACACAUGCAAGUCGAACGGCAGCGCGGGGCAACCUGGCGGCGAGUGGCGAACGGGUGAGUAAUAUAUCGGAACGUGCCCUGGAGUGGGGGAUAACGCAGCGAAAGUUGCGCUAAUACCGCAUACGAUCUAAGGAUGAAAGCAGGGGACCGCAAGGCCUUGUGCUCCUGGAGCGGCCGAUAUCUGAUUAGCUAGUUGGUGGGGUAAAGGCCUACCAAGGCAUCGAUCAGUAGCUGGUCUGAGAGGACGACCAGCCACACUGGAACUGAGACACGGUCCAGACUCCUACGGGAGGCAGCAGUGGGGAAUUUUGGACAAUGGGCGAAAGCCUGAUCCAGCAAUGCCGCGUGAGUGAAGAAGGCCUUCGGGUUGUAAAGCUCUUUUGUCAGGGAAGAAACGGUGUUGGCUAAUAUCCCGCACUAA